CUCCAGUCAUCCUGAUUUCUGACACAAUUCAACGCCACUGUCAGCCUCUGAAGGAUCCUUCACUCCACACUGUGUGCAACCUCACACAGGCAACCAACAUUCAGAAUUUCCUAAGGAAAAUGCUGUUAAAUGCAUUCAGUAGGCUGAUGGAACAACUCCUUCUGGAACCACAGUGCAUUUACAGUUGCACAGUACUUCUUCUAUUACCUUUCUACAGGCACAGAUUUCUACAGGAAUGUGCCAGGAUCACAGCUCUCAAUUACCUUCUCCUUGCUUCUGCUCACUUGCAGACGUGGGUGGCCAGGGCACUUGGGAGCUGAGGUGACCGACCAGGAGGCUGAGCUUUGCUGCUGCCAGCUGGUGGAAACUGGCCUGCUUUCUCAUCAGCAUGGCUGCAGCUGCUAGGGGAAAACAGCCUUCAAAGCUGCUCUCCUCCCUGGAA